GGCUCCGUGGCUCAGCUGGUUAAAGCGCCUGUCCUGUAAACAGGAGAUUCUGGGUUCGAGUCCCAGCGGGACGGGGCCC